rnacentral:rRNA from 1 species
UACGUAGGGACCAAGCGUUGUUCGGAUUUACUGGGCGUAAAGGGCGCGUAGGCGGCGCGGUAAGUCACUUGUGAAAUCUCUGAGCUUAACUCAGAACGGUCAAGUGAUACUGCUGUGCUAGAGUGCGGAAGGGGCAAUCGGAAUUCUCGGUGUAGCGGUGAAAUGCGUAGAUAUCGAGAGGAACACCUGAGGUGAAGACGGGUUGCUGGGCCGACACUGACGCUGAUGCGCGAAAGCUAGGGGAGCGAACGGG